CCUACGGGAGGCAGCAGUGAGGAAUAUUGGUCAAUGGGCGUAAGCCUGAACCAGCCAAGUCGCGUGAGGGAUGAAGGUUCUAUGGAUCGUAAACCUCUUUUAUAAGGGAAUAAAGUGUGGGACGUGUCCUGUUUUGUAUGUACCUUAUGAAUAAGGAUCGGCUAACUCCGUGCCAGCAGCCGCGGUAAUACGGAGGAUCCGAGCGUUAUCCGGAUUUAUUGGGUUUAAAGGGUGCGUAGGCGGCCUUUUAAGUCAGCGGUGAAAGUCUGGGGCUCAACCCCUUCCCGCCAUUGAAACUGGCGCUCUUGAGUGGAAGAGAAGUAUGCGGAAUGCGUGGUGUAGCGGUGAAAUGCAUAGAUAUCACGCAGAACCCCGAUUGCGAAGGCAGCAUGCCGGCUUCCGACUGACGCUGAAGCACGAAAGCGUGGGGAUCGAACAGGAUUAGAUACCCUUGUAGUC
rnacentral:rRNA from 1 species